rnacentral:rRNA from 1 species
GAUGAACGCUGGUGGCGUGCCUAAUACAUGCAAGUCGAGCGAACAGAUGAGGAGCCUGCUCCUCUGACGUUAGCGGCGGACGGGUGAGUAACACGUGGAUAACCUACCUAUAAGACUGGGAUAACUUCGGGAAACCGGAGCUAAUACCGGAUAAUAUAUUGAACCGCAUGGUUCAAUAGUGAAAGACGGUUUUGCUGUCACUUAUAGAUGGAUCCGCGCCGCAUUAGCUAGUUGGUAAGGUAACGGCUUACCAAGGCAACGAUGCGUAGCCGACCUGAGAGGGUGAUCGGCCACACUGGAACUGAGACACGGUCCAGACUCCUACGGGAGGCAGCAGUAGGGAAUCUUCCGCAAUGGGCGAAAGCCUGACGGAGCAACGCCGCGUGAGUGAUGAAGGUCUUCGGAUCGUAAAACUCUGUUAUUAGGGAAGAACAAAUGUGUAAGUAACUAUGCACGUCUUGACGGUACCUAAUCAGAAAGCCACGGCUAACUACGUG